rnacentral:rRNA from 1 species
CCUACGGGAGGCAGCAGUAGGGAAUCUUCCACAAUGGACGAAAGUCUGAUGGAGCAACGCCGCGUGAGUGAAGAAGGGUUUCGGCUCGUAAAACUCUGUUGUUAAAGAAGAAUAUAUCUGAGAGUAACUGUUCAGGUAUUGACGGUAUUUAACCAGAAAGCCACGGCUAACUACGUGCCAGCAGCCGCGG